AGAGGAGUGACAACCAUGUUUAAUGUAGUGUGAACAAACCUUGUCAAUUCAUACUGUGUCUUUCUGUGUAUUUUUCCUUUGCGGUAAGAGAUGGAACAGGAAUGCUUCCGAGCUGAUUUGAGCAGAUGUGUGAACAUGCAGAUGGCCUUCAAAGUUUAACUCCGAGUUUUUGUCAGUAAAGGUCACCACAGGGGCAUCUAAAACCUAGAUUCUAAAACAGGGAGGAACUGAGACUGAGAAGAACUAAAUAUAAAGACUGUAGUUUAGCUUUCAAUUAAUUUUAUUGUAUGAUGCUUUCUUUUUGAGAUGUAAUCAAAUUAGACACAGAGCAUAUGGGUCAUAGUCUAAAUAAAACAUGACGAUUUGCCAAAUAUAUAAUCUUUUUUUAGUACUAGAAUAGAUAGUCACUUCUUCAUAACUUGAAUUCAAUGUGUGAAUACCAGAUAUUAUUGGUAGAUAGCUACUAUAUAUUAUAUUAACAUCUCAAUCACUGUGUUUUGCAGAGAUGCGCUUAUCUGGUUGCUAUGGCUCCUUCAUCACCGAUCCUGACUCUUACUGUGUUGCCAUGGCAGCGCUUGAUUGGCGCACAGCUCUGGCAUUUGAGUUCACUCACAACAAGUCUUUGGAUAAAACGAGGGGUGUAGCCUUACAGGAAGUAUUGAUGUGAUGUCGGUGAAUGUAUGGAUUGAUAUAUAAUCAUAAAUUAUCAUAUUAAAUCAUAUAUAACAUUUUGUUUAAUAAAUUACACUUAUCUGAGAGUAAUGGAUAUGAUAAAUAAUUUAAUAUGCUGUUUAUUUAAUGUAUUUGUUAUUAUUCAUCUGUUUGAUUCCCUUCUCAUUUGCUGGUGUAGUUUGUGCUAUCAUGUAUUUACUCUUCUGGAGAGAACAUGACACGGAUGCACACUGUUAUUCUGUCCACUUCCUGUCAGCUGCUAGACACCUUUAGAAGCAGCCAGGCCGAGACGCUCCUCACAUUCUACUGCAAGAAAAGUAUAAAAACAGUGUUUGUUGUCUGUUGCAUACAGUAAUGUGACCAUACUGCCUACAACAUUCUUAAAACCAAGAUGAAAUCAAAAGUUGAAGGUGAAGUUUCAUGUUAGUCCAUGUUCCAAGGACCAGAUUCCUCGAUCUCAUUGGCUAAAGAGUGUGUCACUCAAGGCUGCAGUGUGCACAUCUUUGUGUUCUCCCAUCAGGAAGUAGGCGGGGCUUUGCCAGGGCACAUCCCCUUUCUCACAGGGGGUGGUGUCAUCUGCUAUAACAGACUACAGCUGGUGUUGCCUCAGUUUCUGAAAGUCCUACCUGUCUACGUUUACAGUUUUCGCAAAAGUGAAGUGCUGCUGCCUGGUCCGCGGAGCUCUGUACAUCAGCAUCUAAGACUGCGUGGCCUCAUUGUCUCCAUGGACACGCUGAGCACUGCUUCCCAGUUCUACCCACUUAUUCUGCCUCUGGUGAGAGACAGACAUCUAGAACAUUCUGUUCAUCCAAAUUAGUCACUGAAAUGAGACAGUUUCCUUGUCUGUAAGAAUUUGUAAUUCUCUGUUGGAUUGUUAUACACAUGGCAGUAUUUAGAGAUGCCACAUUCUUCACUACUCUAGCAAUAAAUGCAUUUACUGUACUCUCUCUAUUUGUAGCAUUUUAUGUUUUACUUAUUAUUUCGAAAGUU